GGGCCCGCACAAGCGGUGGAGUAUGUGGUUUAAUUCGAUGCAACGCGAAGAACCUUACCAGGGUUUGACAUCCUGCGAAUCUCUUGGAAACGAGAGAGUGCCUUCGGGAACGCAGUGACAGGUGGUGCAUGGCUGUCGUCAGCUCGUGUCGUGAGAUGUUGGGUUAAGUCCCGCAACGAGCGCAACCCACGUCUUUAGUUGCCAGCAUUUAGUUGGGCACUCUAGAGAGACUGCCAGUGACAAACUGGAGGAAGGCGGGGACGACGUCAAGUCAUCAUGGCCCUUACGACCAGGGCUACACACGUGCUACAAUGGUAGGUACAGAGGGCAGCAAGUUCGCGAGGACAAGCAAAUCCCAUAAACCGUGGCUCAGUUCAGAUCGUAGGCUGCAACUCGCCUACGUGAAGGCGGAAUCGCUAGUAAUCGCAGGUC
rnacentral:rRNA from 1 species